UCCCGCCGCCCUCAGCUCGCCCGGGGGACGCGGCCCUCUGAGGGAUCCUUGUGCCCGUGGGAGCCGUAGGCCGCUCUUCUGACCCGCUCCGUUCCGAGGGAAAAAUGAGCCACAGUGGAGCAGUGGGGCUCUUCCUGAACAUCUCUGUAGUUACACUGACAGACUGAUUGUAGUGCAAGCAGAGACAUCCAGCAACUGUAUCCUGCAUUUGUGAGCUGCUGCCAGCCUCUCGAGCAGGGCAUAUGUUCCUCUGUGCAUUAAAGGCAUCCUUGGCUGCA